rnacentral:rRNA from 1 species
UACGUAGGGGGCAAGCGUUGUUCGGAAUUACUGGGCGUAAAGGGCGCGUAGGCGGCACAGCAAGUCGGGAGUGAAAGCCCGGGGCUCAACCCCGGAAUGUCUUUCGAAACUGCUGAGCUCGAGUGCGGAAGAGGCAACUGGAAUUCCCAGUGUAGCGGUGAAAUGCGUAGAUAUUGGGAAGAACACCUGAGGCGAAGGCGGGUUGCUGGGCCGACACUGACGCUGAGGCGCGAAAGCCAGGGGAGCGAACGGG